rnacentral:tRNA from 1 species
AAGAGUACUAUCACUAAGCUUCUAACUUAGGCCCGGGGCUAGCCGCCUCCUUCUCUUU